rnacentral:rRNA from 1 species
GUGUCAGCAGCCGCGGUAAUACAGAGGGUGCAAGCGCUAAUCGGAAUUACUGGGCGUAAAGCGCGCGUAGGUGGUUUGUUAAGUUGGAUGUGAAAUCCCCGGGCUCAACCUGGGAACUGCAUCCAGAACUGGCAAGCUAGAGUGUGGUAGAGGGUGGUGGAAUUUCCUGUGUAGCGGUGAAAUGCGUAGAUAUAGGAAGGAACACCAGUGGCGAAGGCGACCACCUGGACCAACACUGACACUGAGGUGCGAAAGCGUGGGGAGCAAACAGGAUUAGAAACCCGCGUAGUCC